rnacentral:rRNA from 1 species
AACGCGAAGAACCUUACCCAGGUUUGAAAUACAGUGGACGAUACCAGAGAUGGUAUUUCUCGCAAGGGCCACUGUACAGGUGCUGCAUGGCUGUCGUCAGCUCGUGCCGUGAGGUGUUGGGUUAAGUCCCGCAACGAGCGCAACCCUUAUCAUUAGUUGCCAACACGCGAGGUGGGGACUCUAAUGAGACUGCCUAGGUUAACUAGGAGGAAGGUGAGGAUGACGUCAAGUCCGCAUGGCCUUUAUGUCUGGGGCUACACACGUGCUACAAUGGCCGGUACAGAAGGCAGCAAAGUCGUAAGAUAGAGCAAAUCCGUAAAGCCGGUCUCAGUUCAGAUUGUAGUCUGCAACUCGACUACAUGAAGUCGGAAUUGCUAGUAAUGACGUGUCAGCAACAACGUCGUGAAUACGUUCCCGGGCCUUGUA